UACAGGGGGGGCAAGCGUUGUUCGGAAUUACUGGGCGUAAAGGGCUCGUAGGUGGCCAACUAAGUCAAACGUGAAAUCCCUCGGCUUAACCGGGGAACUGCGUCUGAUACUGGAUGGCUUGAGUUUGGGAGAGGGAUGCGGAAUUCCAGGUGUAGCGGUGAAAUGCGUAGAUAUCUGGAGGAACACCGGUGGCGAAGGCGGCAUCCUGGACCAACACUGACACUGAGGAGCGAAAGCCAGGGGAGCAAACGGG
rnacentral:rRNA from 1 species